rnacentral:rRNA from 1 species
GGGUCCGCGUUUCAUUAGCUAGUUGGUAGGGUAAUGGCCUACCAAGGCAACGAUGAGUAGCUGGUCUGAGAGGAUGAUCAGCCACACUGGAACUGAAACACGGUCCAGACUCCUACGGGAGGCAGCAGUGGGGAAUAUUGCGCAAUGGGCGAAAGCCUGACGCAGCAACGCCGUGUGAGGGAUGAAGGCUUUCGGGCCGUAAACCUCUGUCGGAAGGGAAGAACGGGCAAGGGUCCAAUAGGCCCUUGUUUUGACGGUACCUUUAGAGGAAGCACCGGCUAACUCCGUGCCAGCAGCCGCGGUAAUACGGAGGGUGCAAGCGUUAUUCGGAAUUACUGGGCGUAAAGCGCACGUAGGCCGCUUUGUAAGUCAGGGGUGAAAUCCCACGGCUCAACCGUGGAACUGCCCUUGAAACUGCAGAGCUUGAAUCCUGGAGAGGGUGGCGGAAUUCCUGGUGUAGGAGUGAAAUCCGUAGAUAUCAGGAGGAACACCGGUGGCGAAGGCGGCCACCUGGACAGGUAUUGACGCUGAGGUGCGAAAGUGUGGGGAGCAAACAGGAUUAGAUACCCUGGUAGUCCACACCGUAAACGAUGGACGCUAGAUGCCGGAG